GGGCGUUUAGCUCAGUUGGGAGAGCAUCUGCCUUACAAGCAGAGGGUCGGCGGUUCGAGCCCGUCAACGCCCACCA
rnacentral:tRNA from 6 species